rnacentral:rRNA from 1 species
UUACACAUGCAAGUCGAACGGCAGCACGGGUGCUUGCACCUGGUGGCGAGUGGCGAACGGGUGAGUAAUACAUCGGAACAUGUCCUGUAGUGGGGGAUAGCCCGGCGAAAGCCGGAUUAAUACCGCAUACGAUCUAUGGAUGAAAGCGGGGGACCUUCGGGCCUCGCGCUAUAGGGUUGGCCGAUGGCUGAUUAGCUAGUUGGUGGGGUAAAGGCCUACCAAGGCGACGAUCAGUAGCUGGUCUGAGAGGACGACCAGCCACACUGGGACUGAGACACGGCCCAGACUCCUACGGGAGGCAGCAGUGGGGAAUUUUGGACAAUGGGCGAAAGCCUGAUCCAGCAAUGCCGCGUGUGUGAAGAAGGCCUUCGGGUUGUAAAGCACUUUUGUCCGGAAAGAAAUCCUUGGUUCUAAUAUAGCCGGGGGAUGACGGUACCGGAAGAAUAAGCACCGGCUAACUACGUGCCAGCAGCCGCGGUAAUACGUAGGGUGCAAGCGUUAAUCGGAAUUACUGGGCGUAAAGCGUGCGCAGGCGGUUUGCUAAGACCGAUGUGAAAUCCCCGGGCUCAACCUGGGAACUGCAUUGGUGACUGGCAGGCUAGAGUAUGGCAGAGGGGGGUAGAAUUCCACGUGUAGCAGUGAAAUGCGUAGAGAUGUGGAGGAAUACCGAUGGCGAAGGCA